GGCGGUUUCUCGGCUGCGCAUCCAACCGUGCAGUGCUUUUGGAAGGUGGUGGAGAACUUCACCGAUGACCAGAGACGACAACUUCUCAAAUUCGUGACCAGCUGUUCAAGACCUCCGCUAUUGGGUUUCAAGGAUUUGCAGCCACCAUUCUGCAUCCAAUCGGCGGGCGCAUCGGAUCGGCUGCCGUCAUCGUCAACAUGCAUGAAUCUGCUCAAAUUACCCGAGUUCCAUUCUGAAAGUACACUCGCGGAGAAACUCCUCUAUGCCAUACAAGCUGGUGCUGGUUUCGAAUUAAGUUAAUGUUCUCAGAAGGAACGUGUUAGUCUGUAUCUACUAAAAUAAUACGAACAUAGGUAGGUAGGUACAUACUGUAAAGUAGAAAGGAUAUACCUAGCGGAUAAAAAUAAUAAUUUCUCAGCAUUAUAUCAAAAGAAAUUCUAAAUCUUGCGUCACUUCUAAUAGCACGCUAGUGCUUUUGAAAUUAGUAUUUCAAUUGUUGAAAACCUUUAUUACUAUAUAGAAUGUUAAGUAAAACUGAUUGUUAUUCGCUGGGGUGUCCAUAAUUUUUUUAGCGUACGGAACAUAUAAAACAUUAAUGUUCUAUAAAUUCUAAAAUUUAUCAUAAAUCUCAAUGUGAUAUACAAAUAUACUCGGUGAAGUAUUUUGUUGUAAAUAAAUACUUAAUGUUACCCAUUGAUGUUGAUUUUUUUCCCUAAUGUCUGUGAGUAUUUAUUUUUGUGAAACGUAGUUUAUAGCGUUAGUACAAUGUGUAGUUAUGUAAAUAAUUAUAUUAUUAAUCGUACAUAAUAUUCUGUGAGUCUCUUUCUGGGAAUUUUGAACAUUGAGUGAAUUUAUACUGAAAUUGUAUGUUGUGUUCACGCCUGGCGUGAAAAUAGAGAUGUUCAAAUGUACAGUCACGAGCAAAUCAAGCUUGACAGUUUGGACUAUUCUUAACGCAAGCGUCUUAAUCGUCGUGUAAGAGUUCUUUUUAUUUCCCGGAUAUUUCAAAACGGCUAUACGCUCCAUGGUCACCGGCUGACUGUUGAACUUUGAAGUGAUCACGUAACCCUGGAGCUUGUAACCGCUUGGAAAUAUCGGGAAAAUGAAAUGAACACAUACCGUGGUAUGAAACCCGUAAUUAGUGAUAAUCAUUUAGUGAAUAACCACGAAAGCCUUAAAAUCUAUGUCGUAGAGUGGAAAGAUCAUGGCCCACAAAAGUAUAAAAAACCAUAUCCACGGCGUACAGAAAUAACAUAUUUGGUUAGAUUUAUAAAAAAAAAUCUGUACUUUACAAUGGUCUGUGUCGUUUUACUGUGGGUACUGGGAAUUAUUUAAUAAAAAGAAAUAUUUUUAUAUAAAAAACGUAUGUUAGUCCAAAAUAUUUGUGUUUCGUAUUUAUUGUACAUAUAUUACCCAGACAACGAUUUCGGUCGUAUUCCUACUAGAACUGACCGCCCAGGGUUCGCGCACGAGUGUAUUGAUAUUUAUUUUGACAAAAAGUCUGACAAUAAUCUAAUUAGGAUUUUCACUCAAUUAAAAAUAUGUCAAAUCUUUAUUUCCCUGUUACAUGUUAACACUGUAGAUUUACAAUUUUUUUUUCAUGAAAAUUAUAAGUGGUUUAUAACUGCAUAAUUUUAAACUAUUGUGGUUUUUGUACGCAAACUUCCAUUAACCGGGUCAGAUUAUAGGCCAUGAUCUUUAAAUGUCAAACUUGAAGUGCCCUUGUCCCUGUACUUACGGGAAUUUCGAUCAAAUAAAUGUAUGUAUGUAUGAUUGUACCAUAUUGUAAAUUUUUCGUCAUUAUCAUGUUAGUCAGUAGCGAGAGAGUUGAACGGCGCAUAUCAGUCACGUAACUUACGCUUGUUAAGUUUGCGGCUGAAUUUCUAAAUCCAAAAACCUACUAUAUUCAUUCAAACCUACUCUCAUCCCAUGUCUACCUAUAAUGUGUUUAAAACAAUAAUAUUAUAAGGAAAAAUAUGUAAGUAUCAUGGAACAAACUAAUAAGCGAGAGUGCUGUAAUAUUUUUUCGCUUUUCUUUUUUUCUAUAGUUAUAAUAUUUAUUAAGUUUACAAAUUUUCUAUUAAUAUACUAUUGCGACAAUGUUUCCAGUGUUUCCCUUUAUUUUUUGUUGCGUCUAAGUGUUACCUGUGUUUUUGUUUGUUCUUUGCUAGCGGCGUCUCUACCGACAAAACAUUGCAGCACACACUCGCUUCACAUCUAUGUUUCAAAUCAUAUCUGUGUACAUUAAAGUAAAUAAUAAUCAUCUGAAAAUCAAGUAACAAUAAUGAAUUUUUGACUAAUUUAUUACAAAAUGAUGUUCGAGUGAAAUGAGCUUUCCUAAGAACUAUACGAGUCUAUGGAACUCUUAAUGAGUAGAUAAAUUUUAAUUAUUAUUAUUUCAUGAGUCUGAAAUGGGUUUACCCAUUUAAUAAC